GUUUAUACUAUAAACUAAUAGUAAAAAUAAAAAAUAAAACAAAUUAUUGAAUUUAAAAAUUACCAAUACUUAGCUCUUUCACAGCCAACACAGAGAGAUCGACAUCCUACUUGGCAAAUAAGGAAAAUUUCUUAGAAUAAUACGGAAACGUCUUUCCCGAGAAAUACAUAUAAAAUAUUUUAAAAUGAUGUCAGCGCACUAUUUGUUUUCUCUCUCUAAGAAUGCAAUCUAGAAUCUGAGUGCUAUGAAAGAGACUUAUGAGCAUUUUAAAAAUGUGUUUAUAACUCACAUAAAAAUUAAAAAUCAACAAAUGAACAAAUCAAUAGUAAGAGAAAGAGAAAAAAUAGGCCAGCACAAUAUUCUCUUAUUACAACGUGAUAUCCUAAAAUGUGUAUUCCAAAAUAUUAUCGUAAUUAUUUGUAAAUGAGUCUAAAAUUAUGAAACGAAAGCGAACGAAUAAACAUCGCUAAUUUGAACAAAGAAACUUGUUUGUGUUUUGUAAUAAAUAACAGUGAAAUUAAGUAUUUAAAAAGUAUUAAUUUUGAUUUAUUCGUGGUAUUACUUUCAUUUUAUUUUCUUUGGUGUAUUUGCUUUAUAACAGUUUAAACUUUUAUUUUGU